rnacentral:rRNA from 1 species
AGCGCACGGGACCGCAUGGUUUUGUGUGAAAAGCCGAGACGGUAUGAGAUGGACCCGCGUCUGAUUAGCUGGUUGGUGGGGUAACGGCCCACCAAGGCGACGAUCAGUAGCCGACCUGAGAGGGUGACCGGCCACAUUGGGACUGAGACACGGCCCAAACUCCUACGGGAGGCAGCAGUGGGGGAUAUUGCACAAUGGGGGAAACCCUGAUGCAGCGACGCCGCGUGAGUGAAGAAGUAUUUCGGUAUGUAAAGCUCUAUCAGCAGGGAAGAGAAUGACGGUACCUGAGUAAGAAGCCCCGGCUAACUACGUGCCAGCAGCCGCGGUAAUACGUAGGGGGCAAGCGUUAUCCGGAUUUACUGGGUGUAAAGGGAGCGUAGACGGCAAAGCAAGUCUGAAGUGAAAGCCCGGGGCUCAACCCCGGGACUGCUUUGGAAACUGUUCUGCUAGAGUGCUGGAGAGGUAAGCGGAAUUCCUAGUGUAGCGGUGAAAUGCGUAGAUAUUAGGAGGAACACCAGUGGCGAAGGCGGCUUACUGGACAGUAACUGACGUUGAGGCUCGAAAGCGUGGGGAGCAAACAGGAUUAGAUACCCUGGUAGUCCACGCGGUAAACGAUGAAUACUAGGUGUUGGUGGGCAAGGCCCAUCGGUGCC